UACGGAGGGUGCAAGCGUUAAUCGGAAUUACUGGGCGUAAAGCGUGCGCAGGCGGUUUGUUAAGUCUGUUGUGAAAUCCCCGAGCUCAACCUGGGAAUGGCGAUGGAUACUGGCGAGCUAGAGUGUGUCAGAGGGUAGUGGAAUUCCCGGUGUAGCAGUGAAAUGCGUAGAGAUCGGGAGGAACACCAGUGGCGAAGGCGACUACCUGGACCAGCACUGACACUGAGGCACGAAAGCGUGGGGAGCAAACAGG
rnacentral:rRNA from 1 species